CGUAGGGAGCAAGCGUUGUUCGGAUUUACUGGGCGUAAAGGGCGCGUAGCGGCAAUUCAAGUCACUUGUGAAAUCUCCGGGCUUAACUCGGAACGGUCAAGUGAUACUGCUUUGCUAGAGUGCGGAAGGGGCAAUCGGAAUUCUCGGUGUAGCGGUGAAAUGCGUAGAUAUCGAGAGGAACACCUGAGGUGAAGACGGGUUGCUGGGCCGACACUGACGCUGACAGCGCGAAAGCCAGGGGAGCAAACGGGAUUAGAUACCCCGGUAGUCCUGGCCCUAAACGAUGAAUACUUGGUGUCUGGAGUUAUUAGUGCUCCGGGUGCCGUCGCUAACGUUUUUAGUAUUCCGCCUGGGGAGUACGCUCGCAAGAGUG
rnacentral:rRNA from 1 species